AUGCAGUCGAACGCGAAAGGUUCCUUCGGGAACCGAGUAGAGUGGCGCACGGGUGAGUAACACGUAGGUAAUUUGCCUUUGGGUGGGGAAUAACAGUCGGAAACGACUGCUAAUACCGCAUAAUGCAGCGGCUCGACAUCGAGACAGUUGUUAAAGCGGGGGAUUCGUAAGAACCUCGCGCCUAAAGAGAAGCCUGCGGCAGAUUAGCUAGUUGGUAGGGUAAUGGCCUACCAAGGCGACGAUCUGUAACCGGCCUGGGAGGGCGGUCGGUCACACUGACACUGACAUACGGGUCAGACUCCUACGGGAGGCAGCAGUCGGGAAUUUUGGGCAAUGGGCGAAAGCCUGACCCAGCAACGCCGCGUGAAGGAUGAAAUCCCUCGGGAUGUAAACUUCGCAAGAACAGGAAGAAUAAGUAGAAGAUAAUACCUUCUAUGAUGACGGUACUGUUUGUAAGCUCCGGCUAACUCCGUGCCAGCAGCCGCGGUAAUACGGGGGGAGCAAGCGUUGUUCGGAUUUACUGGGCGUAAAGGGCGCGUANGCGGCGUGACAAGUCACUUGUGAAAUCUCCGGGCUUAACUCGGAACGGUCAAGUGGUACUGUCGUGCUAGAGUACAGAANGGGCAACUGGAAUUCUCGGUGUAGCGGUGAAAUGCGUAGAUAUCGAGAGGAACACCUGCGGC
rnacentral:rRNA from 1 species